rnacentral:sRNA from 1 species
CUCUUUCAGCGCUUCACCCCGGAAGCUGCUGGGAAACCUCCAGGGCAGCGUCCGUCCGGAGCGUAGAGGCCUCUGGGAAUUGUAUUUUAGGCACACGGUGACCUCAGUAGGCCACCCCUAAGGCUUUUGGGAAAGUCCGUUGGCCGCGUCCGGAGCGCAGAGGCCUCUGGGAAUUGUAGUUUCACAACGAGGUGCUGGGAACGGGUCGGGCAGAUAGGCAAGUCCGGACAUCGGUGUACAAAAGGGAGAAACGUCGAGGGGAAAACUAUUCCAGAUUAAAAUAAAGGGGUCAAAAUGUCUUCUGGUUUGUGAGGUUUGGGUCAGGUGACCCUGGAAACAGGAAGUGGAAACCCGAAGCCGGGAGCGGGUGAGAAUUUAAGAAGAGAGUUUAAAUUUCACAAAGUGAUGAAAGGUUUCGCGGAGCCUACUUAUGUUUGAAAAAAUAUUUGUUUAGCAAAUUGAACUUGGGUAUCCUGUAUUUGAAAACCCUACCACCAGCCAAUGCAAGGAACUUAGACCAAUGCCUGAUUUCAAGUCCUACUUCGUUCUCCUCCUGGAAGCCUGUUGGGAAACGCCACCCACCCACCUACACAGCCUGGUCGGUCCGGAUGUAGCUUCUGUCAUUUGGCGUCGAUUGCACAUGGCCUUAGCGCUUGAAGGAAUCAGUCACAGGCAUUGGUUUUACUGUUUUCUUAAAAGCAAGGCAUAAAAAUAGUGCACGGGCUAAAAAUUGCACCCCUAAGUUUAAACCCAAAGCAUUGAGGCACAGGUUCAGUUGAAAACAUCAAUGUCCAUAUUAUAGAAUAUAUAGAAUACAAUACACAGCGCAGAGUCCGUAUUGUAGAAUAUGUUGUACGCUUUUCCCGAAUGAAGGAUGGAUGCAGGAGUGCACCAUGAAUGGUGUCACCCCAGGGGCACAUGAUCCCGAGUAGCACAAGAAAGAAAGCUGUGGUGAUCUAGCCAGGAAAACACUGUUGCUUCACGGCCUAAAACCAAAGCAGGACAAUGGAUGAUGCUCCGAACAGGGUUCCAUCUAACAGAAUCGAGAUACAAAACUUGCAAAAUAGUCCAAGAUGAUAUAAAAACAGUUAUGAAGUGUCGCGCCCACCUCAGCUGGCAAGGAAGACGCAACACAGUUGGAUUCUUCUCAACAGCCUUUACUGCAGGAC